CGUUGCUAACAGGUGAAGCUGAGCACUCUAGACGAACUGCCGUUGACAAAACGGAGGAGGGUGGGAUGACGUCAAAUCAUCAUGCCCUUAUGUUCUGGGCUACACACGUGCUACAAUGGCCGGUACAGACGGAGGCGAAGCCGCGAGGCGGAGCAAAUCCGAAAAAGCCGGUCUCAGUUCGGAUUGCAGGCUGCAAUUCGCCUGCAUGAAGUCGGAAUCGCUAGUAAUCGCAGGUCAGCAUACUGCGGUGAAUACGUUCCCGGGCCUU
rnacentral:rRNA from 1 species